GAAGUAACUUCUGCCCAGCGACUGGGUAGAGGGGAUGUGACGCUAUAGCGGAAGUGAAGGCGGGUUCCGCUAAGAGCAAAAGCUGAAACCGGAGGACUGCGGCCCUGCGCUUCCGGAAGGGACAUCUGGGGAAGGUGGGGGGGUGGAAAUGCGACAGGUUCAUGAAUUAUCCAUCAAGCAAGAUUGUCAGCUCCUCGUGGAAGGAAAUACGUUGCUUUGCUGAGCAUAUAGUAAAUGCUGGAUAUGUUGUUUGAACAAGUGAAUGCUGUUACAAGCGUGCACCCCGACCUGGCCAGAAUCCCCCUGGGCUCAGCUCUAAGCAGAACCGAGGUCGCUCCUACUAACGGUAAGAGCCUCUUGCUGAGAAAAAUAAUCUUUUUUUUUUUUUUUUUUUUUAAGACAGAGUGUCACCCUGUUGCCCAGGCUGGAGUGCAUUGGGGCCAUCUCGGCUCACUGCAACCUCUGCCUCCUGGGUUCAAGCGAUUCUCCUGCCUCAGCCUCCUGAGCAGCUGGGAUGACAGUCGCCCGCCACCACACCCGGCUAAUUUUUUGUAUCUUUAGUGGAGUCUGGGUUUCACCAUGUUGGCCAGGCUGGUCUCGAACUCCUGACCUCAACUGAUCCACCUGUCUCGGCCUCCCAAAGUGCUGGGAUUACAGGCGUGAGCCACCACGCCCAGCAAAAAAUAACUUUAACAGAAAUAAUUAUAAUGCCCAUUUUACAGAUAAUGAAAAUAAGCCUCUAAAGGCUUAAGUGAUUUUUUUUCCCCAAGGUCAAAGCAAGAAGGUAACAAAGUACACCUUUAAAUAUUUAAAUAGAUGAUGCAUUUCAUUGUAAUUGUAGUUUGUAUCUUUUUUACAGUGUCUGUUCCCUUUAUCACAUUUUUGGGCUCAGCACUCAGUGUCUGUUGACUGAGGAGCAACAGUUGGCAGAGUAAGGAUUUUAAGGGCUCAGAUAUGGCCAGACCUAUUGCUGUGUGGGUUAGAGAUUGCUGAUUCAAGAAACCUUGACAUCAGGGGCUGGUAUUGAAAGGUGGGAACAGGAAAUAGUAAUAAUAGCUAUACUGGUUCUCCUCCUGCUCUUUUCCUAUUUACGUUCACUGGGCACUUCCUGGGUCUCAGUGUCUCUGUCAGCCCUAUUCCUGCCCUUGCUAUAAGAAGGAAGUUUCUCAGCUACUUGGGAGGUUGAGGCAGGAGAAUCUCUUGAACCUGGGAGGUGGAGGUUGUGGUGAGCCAAGAUUGCGCCAUUGCACUCCAGCCCGGGCAACAAGAACUAAACUCCAUCUCAAAAAAAAAAAAAAGACGUAAGUUUCAAGUGCUUUGAACUCCUUAGGGAAAAGCUUUAGAACAAUAAAUGUGGGGCGUAGGGGGAGGAGGGCUGUUAAUUUUAGCCUGGGGUUCUCCAGCUGGCAUACUGUUUCCAUCUUGAAUCACUUCCACACCCUGAGCUGUGCCUGGGAGAUCCCUCCCUCCUCCUGGGGGCUUCCCCAUUCCCUGGUUUGGUCUGAGCCACAAUGGCAAGCAUUCCAGAAAAAUGCUAAGAGAAGCUUGGCUGAGUCAUUUGAUGCACAGCUCAGGAGGCAAAGAAAGGAUGGUGAUGAGACACUGGUUCCAGUGGUGCCUGUGAUGUGUGACCUCGAAGAACCUUCCAGUUCCCAAAAGAGCAGCAUGGCCAUUGUUUUGUUCUUGGUUAGUGACUCUGCUGCAGCUUUCUGAGGACCUCUCAAAGCCCCACAGUCUCUGUUUCAACUAGCAGGAGAGAAAAGUUAGGGUUUGCUCCCCAGGGCCUCAUGACUCUUCACGGCUAACAUGACAGUGCAGUAUCAUUUGGGAGAAUUUUUUUAGUACAGUUCAGAGUCUGGAACAGUCUCCUUCCUCCUCUGUCUUUCCUGCCAUCUGACUUUCCAUGGGGAAAGGAGGACAUUUAGGGAGAGGGAACAGGUGAGGAUUUCCAGUAUCUUGCUGGUGUAUUUUAAUUUAUUUAAAUUUAGAGAAACAGCAGCCUAAUCAGGCAGUAAUUAAUUCCCUCUUCAUUAGGGGCCUUCAUGUGUGCCUUUUGCAUAUGGAUGAGCCACGGGUCACACUGUCCCUUUGAAGAGAUCCUUGCUGAAGGUGAGAGCCCUGUGUGCUCUCUGGCACUUGAGCUCCUUCCCCUUCUGUGCCAAUGCUUCUCUUUUCUCCCCACCCUCACCUGACAAGGACUAGAUUCCUGUGGGGAAAGAAGGAAAGGUUAAUGAAGCUUCCUAUCCCACCCUCCUUGGAUCUGGAUCCCUCCCUCAUGGCCCACAGUGUAUACCAUCCAUGCCUCAUCCUGUACCCUCAGGUUUUAUCCAGCCCACUUCCUCCCAUCAGCCACCUGCUGGGAUAUCUUCAUGCCCCUAGUGAGUUGACGCCUCAGAAGCUUGUUUGCCUGGCACCUCUGCUUUGAGUUGGUUCAUCAAUCCUUGGCCCCACUCUGCUUCUUUCGUCUGUAGCAGUCCUUUUCUUAGGGAGUGUGACGCCCUGAAUGCACACACUGCUCUAGUCCUGAGAAAUACGCUGCCUCCUCCUGGCACUCACCAUUAUGUGCUGCACAGGCUCAGCCACACUUCCGUCAGCUCACAGUAAAGCUCCCAACACCUAAAGCACACAUCUACCAAUACACAGACAUUCCUAUCCUAGCUUGAAAGAUAAAUGCAUGGGGGCAUAUCCAGUCCAGGGCAGCCCAGGCCACCCUUUUGUACACUACAUCAUCCCUAUCCUCCCUAGGGCCACUGCAUUUCCAGGGAGCAAGUGGGGCACAGAUUGGGGGAGGGGGGAUAGAUGGGACCUGGGUGGUUACCAUAGCAAUAGAGCCUAGCAACAGCUGAGAGGCUGAUGUGUGGGUUUUCACAGGGCUGUUACAAGAACCAAACCUAGAAUUGGGGACUCAGAGGUGACUGAUCCCAGCUGGGCAGCCUGCAUUCCCUCCCCAAACACACCCCUUGAUCCCACCCCCACACCCCUGCAGUGCCUCUCUCCGAGAGGGCAGAGUAGGGAAAGCUAAUGAGUUAACCACAGGGCUUCUGAUUCUGCACAGCUUUUAGGGGGCAGCUGUGGGUGGGGGCAGGUUAGGGAGCAAAGCUGAAAAUAAACCAAGCAGUGCAGCUUCUUUCGGAUGGCUCCCUCUCAUCUUCUCCAUUGCUCCAUUUUUCUCUUCUUUCUUCCUUCUCCCUCCGUCUGUCUUAUCAGCUCUCUCUUCCGCCUUGAUCCACCUCCUAUCCUUCCAUGUAACUUUCCUUUUCUUCUGUCUCCUUCUUUUGGUCUCUCUUAACCCUCCCUGGCAAGGAAUAAGUGAGCCACGAUUUCUAUUCCAGUUUCUCUCUUGUACCACUGCUUCUCAUCAGGAUGGCUCCCUUCCAUUUUGUCCCAAGUUGAAGCCCCAGUUGGCCCCCAGCUCCAGGUCAGAGGAGGGCAGGUGACUUAGGUCUAGAGGGGGUCCCCACCUCAUCCUGUACCUCCUCCUAGCUGCCCACCCCCUCUCCUCCUCUCUACGGGGGUCAGAAGGCAGAACCAGGGGACUUGAGUAUCUUGCAAAGGCUUUAUUUGAAAAUUUUGAAACUUACAUCCCACAGUAAUUCAAGAUGAUCACCACAAGAAGAAGAAAGAGAUAAUACAAAAAUAUAUAUCACAGCAUAGGAGCCAGGGAAGAAGGGAAGGAGGAAGGUGGAAAAACCAGUGUGAAGGAGGGAAGAACCUGACGAGGGGAAAGGGCAGGGAAGCAAAAGGAAGGAGAGUAGAAGGAAGGAGGGAGGAAAGGAGGGGACAGGAGGGAGUCUGGGAAGGGAAGGGUAGAUUUGGAGGCAGAGCUGCUGGUGGCCUUGAACCAGCUGACUCUGGUCCCUGGCAGCCUAGGUGGAGUUAGGGAGGCUGGGAAGGGAGGACUGGCUCAGGGGGCUCUGAAGUCCAGAGAAUGGCACACACACAGACAGCCAGGACAGACGAGACAAAAGGGACUGUAGGAGAAAGGGAAGGGCAAAUGGGAGUCCCUUUCUCAUGUAGUGCAGCAGGCGACUCCCCAAAACCCAUCUGUCAGAAAACAGAUUUUAGCAGUGGGCUGGGGGUGAAGUCUGGGGCCUCACUACCCCCAUUCCCAAGGGGGAGCCCUCAGGGUGAUGCCGGCACCCUUGGAGUGGGAUGGGGAGACAGAGAAACAAAUGGUGUGGAAUGGGACGAGACCAUGACAGAUGAGGGCACAAGGAGCCCCCAGCUCACCUCCCACCCACCUCUGGAGCAGCAUGCAGGGGCUGCAGAAACGAGGUGAGUGGGUGUUCAUGAGGGAGAGAGUGAGCACGCCGCACGACACCACAACAUCAGGCCGGGAAACGCACAUGAGAGGUAAAGUGUGCAGCAAACACUGACCACUGAGUGAGCUGAGCACGGAAUGUGGGAAGGCGAGAGUGCAAAUGUGAGACGAGAGAGAACAUGAGUCAGCUGAGCGGAGCGGUGUGGACGGGGAGAGGGUGCAGGAGUGUGUGCAAAUGGCCUGUGAAGGUGGAGGUGAGUGUGCAAGGCUUUCAUGUGAGUGCACAAGGGUGGGGACAGGGACCCGAAGUCACAGAUAUGUGAGGCCCCCACCUGCAGGAGGGCGAGCAGAUAGGAUUGCCCGUGGGGCUGGGGAGUGUUCCGGGGUGGUGUGCAAGGGCAGGAGCCAGGAGCCCCUGUGGCCCCAGCUCCCCACAGCUGCCCCACCCUCAGUGGGAUGGGGGCUGUGCCGGCCCCUUGGCCUCCUGCUUGGCUGCACCCCAACAUUGGGGGGCAUCACAGAUUCACCAGGGGAAUCCUGAGAGGAAGAGGGAAAGGGCACAGUCAGGAACCAAGGGGUAGGCCAGAAUAGAAGGGGAAGUUCAAGACAAAGAGGGGGAAUCAAGGUUAAGAGGGCAGAGUUGUCUUAGACAAGGUGGCAUGAGAAAAAACCAAAGAGGGCAGAGUUGGAGUUAUGGGCAGCAGAGAAUAGGACACAGAUCCUGAGAGACUGGGAGAAGGAAGGGUGCCUCUCAGAGAGGAGCUGGUCCAGCCCCCUUGGGAGGGCCAGGGGCUGUGGGAGGCCAUGCCUGCCUCCUCACCACCCACCCAGAGGGCACCCCCACCCCAGCUCUGAAGACCUAAGUUGCCUUCCCUCUUUGCCCUCCCAUCCCAUUGCCCCUGCCCUCACCGGUUCAACUGGAAGGCUGGAGCCCCCUUGGGGUGGGGCAUCCCGGGCCGGGGUCCCCCUCGGGGCUCCUCAUGGUCAGGGGUGGGGGUAGGCGAGUCCCCGAAGGCCCCCAGCACAGUGACUCCGGCCGGGGACAGGUCUGUUAGUGGCUGCUGGCUCUCCUCCUGCCUCAGGGCACCUUGCUGCCCUGAGGGUCUGCGCCGCUUCUGGCUGCGGUCCCAGCUGGGAUACCAGAGGGAAAGAGGUUCUCUUGCACACUCAAGUAGGCCCCAUCCUGGGCCUGCACCAGUGGUCACCCCCAGCCUUGCCCAGUCACUCCCAACAUCUUACAGCAGAGAAACUGGCCUUAAACAGUUCCCUCUACUAAAUCCCCUGGGACUCUGUGCCCAUAAAACCACUUCCCCUGCCCUCUAGGGGUGCUUGGGAACCUAAACCUCCUUCCUGUCCAAACCUGAUCCAGAUCCACAGAAUUAAUAUCCCCUGAUCCAGAUCCACAGAAUUAAUAUCCCCUCCCCACCAACCACAGUGUCCUCUCCCCUGCACGCCCAGAAGAGUCAUUUCUGUCUUUGGCAGACAACUGGCAGGUUUAGCUCUAGUUCAAAGCAAGCUGAUGACUUGGACACCUGACUCUAAUGAUUCUCUCAGUAAAGUGUGAAGGACUGAGUGAUCCAUUAUUAAAUGUGUGCAAAGAAAGCUCCGGAUUUUCUUGCUCCCCCCAGGCAACCCUAAGAAGGGCUCUGCAGACUGGGUCAGCUUUCUCUGUCUUGGAGGAAGUAAGGGCAAGGGAGGCCCACGAAAGCCCCCAAUGCAAAGGAAUAAUUCCCCUGCCCUCCUUUAUCCUUGUAUUUCCCUGGGAGACAGAAUGUGCCCUGAUUUCUCACUGUCUUCCCCCAGCCAAAUCCUUAAUGAUCUUUUCCCAAGGUCUUGCCUUCAUCCAGCAUUUCCCACCCACCCCCAGCAAAAUUGCUGCCACUGCCCCUCGUGGCUAGAGCCUCGACUGCCAAACAUUCCUUCCCCAUCCACCAGCACCCUCCUCCUCCCAGCUUACCAGAACUUGAAGAUGAUGCCAGUGGCCACGAGAACAAUGAUGAUGGAGAUGGUAAUUGUGACAUAGAGCUGGGGGUCCACACCUGAUUGGGGUGGGAAGAAAGUUUUAGGGAGCCCCGAGGUGGUAGGAGCCAAGAGGGGCUGGGGGCUCGGCUGUGGGCUCUGUCGGCUGGAGUGGCAUUGCUGUGUGGAUCCACACUGCCGACUCUGUCUGCCCCUCUGGAGCCUCACUAUUGUUAUCACCAGCAUUCCCCUGAGUUUUCAGCUCUUUUCCUCCACUUUCCCAAAUGUAUUUCACCAAAUCUUAUGUGUAUAUGUGAUGAGGAUGAGGCCCCAUGAUCAGAGAGAACCUAUCACUGUGCCUAGAAACGAAGGGGUGGAGAUGUCCUAGUCUCUGCCAUGGCCCAACUCCCAAACCACAGGCCCUGUUCCUCCAUCAGCACUCCCUGAGCCAAGACGUCUCCCGGGUAGUGCCCUUCAUCCACGGCAUUCUCUGCCCGGAAUACUCCCACUCUCUUUUCAAGGGCCAGCUCAAAUGUCAGUUCUCUGAAGGUGUCCUGACCCCCAAGCAGGAGGAGACUCUCACUUCUCUUUUUUCGUAAAUCACGCUGCACAUGCCUCUAUUAAAGCAUUUAUUACGAUGA